UACUUCGCUGAAAAUUGUUCUGCUGUUAUGCAAUACAAUGCACGUGUUCUGUCUCGCACUGUUGCUGCUGCGAAUAUCAGAUGCGUCUUUUUCUCGUCUGUUUAAUUUUGGCAGAAAACGCAAAUCCACACUGGUGGAUCGUGCAUACAGAAAACGAUGUCAUUGCAGAGCGACCAGGAGUUUUGGGGGGGUCUUGUGCGUUCUGAGACCGCCCACCAGUGGUUGGCCCCGCCCAGGCGACCCGCGGACUUGUGAGCUCCCCUGAGCACGAACUACGAACUGCAAAACCGAUUUUGCACACAUGACAUUAAUGACAAUUAUUCACGCACGCAACAGUCAAUCUGAGCCGCGUUGCACGGAUAAAAGGGCUUCCUCUCAACACGUGUCUGAAAUAGUGAGGGGGGUGUUUGGACGCUGAAAAAAAGUGAAUAUAAUGGUCAUUUUGUCUCCCUGGCAGGGUAUGAGAGAACAAAGAAAACGGUCAAAAUGAAAAAUUGAAGUCGUUUGAAAGAGGGGCUUGCGAAUGUGUCAUUUGGGACAAAAUGGUGGCCGGUCCCACAAACAUCCAUCUCCUCCUGGGACGGUCUCCUGCUGAAGAGGGGGGCAUGUCCAGGCUUGUCCGUUUCAUGUGCGAAGUGAUGCGCUCUCAAGAUGACAGUGAGUGACGUCAAAGGGCGUCAGUGAUGCGAGCCUGGAGCCCAAAGUGAAGCACUUCUUUUCACCCUGCACCCCUCCUUCUCCUCACAAAGAAUUACUGCAGAAGUGACAGCUGACCUUCAGCUGCUGAUUACAUGCACAGGACAUCAUAAGCUGUGUAGCACCCAUCGCCAGACUCUUGACUUACCUUUAGGAGAGUCUCAGCUCCUUCUUCAGUGUUUUGUGACAUAAACGGCUCUUCUGUGGUUCUGUCUUUUGACUGUAUAUCAUUACCAGUAAAGCCUGCAGAGGGCACUUAUUGUAUGAA